ACUGUAGGAAUGGGAGGCAUCAGGAAAACACUGAGACAAAUAUCUGUAUCCAAUUCUAGUGGUAAAAACAGACAGUUAUCAUGCUUUCCUCCAUGUUCCCAUUCCCACUGCUCUUAGAUAUUCCCUUUCUUCCUCUUCCUGGCUUACCCAGGCCUAAAACACAAGAACAAGAAGUUUGAACUGUCCAACAAUGCCUAUGGUAUUCUUUGGUAUAUAUAGGGCUGUAAUGCAGUACUGCAGUGCUUUAGACCGCACAAAAUCUUUGUGAGGAAACGCAGUGUAUGUACCUACUUGCUACUUCAUGGCGCACUGCCGUGCAUCCCAUUCAAUGAAAGUGGGCCAGGAAACAUCUGUUGCUAAUGCUGCACAUUUGUAGAUGGGAUUUUCAUGAUACCUUUUCCUAUACACAUCUAGAAGUCCUUGAGUUUAAGAAAUGCACGCUACAGCAUGGGGGAACUAACAUAUAGCAGAGUAGGUACUUUAACAGGAAAGCUAACUAUUAUUUAUCACUAUGCUGGAGCAGGCAUCUUUGGCAGAGUGCAGCUGCUUGUGCAAGUGGUAUGGGCGUGGAUUGUUCCCACUUUUUCACCAUGAUAAGGAUCGUCAUCCCAAAAAAUUGAUGAACUACCUUGCAUGUGAAUUUACAUAUCUAUUAGAGACAUUUGAUCCUUCUUUUGUUAAACAAAUAUUAUUUUACAUUAGGUGUAAAUGAGAGAUAAACAUAUUAAAACGUUGAAUACCAAGUCUGAUGAUGGCCAGAUUUGAAGAUGGGCAGUCCCUUCUCAUGUGAUCCUUCUGGAUGAUACAGAAGUUAAUGGACCCAAUUCUCCAAAAGGAGUUGAACAACCACAGAUAGUGGCAGUCUGGCUCUGAAUUGAGGACAAGGUACUCUGGCGCUGAACGGCUUCACAGGAACACAAAGCGAGUUCAGUCUAACAGAGUGUGCUUCUUCGGCUCCGUUUAGCUCGAUGGAGCCAAGCAACUGUGGAAGGUCUGGGCACCGCUCAAAGUGAAGCUCUUCGUGUGGCUGGUUUUGCAGCGACGACUCUGGAUGGCUGAUCGCUGAUUGCGCAGUGGAUUACAGAGCCACAUCAAUUGCGCCCUCUGUGAACAGGAAGAUGAAAUGCCUUGACAAUCUCAAGCUGCUCCUACACAAGGCAAGUCUGGUUCGGAAUCCUUGGACAUGCAGAUACCGUUGGCGGCUGCCCAGACCAUUGACUGGUGGCACCAGCUUCGCCCCAGUGGAGACAAGAAGUGCAAGCAAGGGCUCGAUUCUCUUCAUGUUGGUCACCUGGCUCAUUUGGAAAGAAUGGCCGCAUUUUCAACAAGAAAAACCAACGCCAACGCAGCUGCUCAAUCGAACCAAAGAGGAGGCAGAACUCUGGUGCCAAGCCGGUGCGAAAGCACUCAGCACCCUCGGUGUUUGCUCCUUUCAGGAUCAAGCUCGUAGUUUAACUGUAACUAAUUAGCUCUCCUCUGUACCUGUCUGGUUGUUCAGUCCCUUAGCAUAAGAAUGAGUGAAAUACUGUAAUCAUCAGCAAGCGCUAAGGCUGUUUGCAUUGUUACAAACUUUACAAUUCAUCUUUAUUACUUUAUCUAAUACAAAGAUACAUUUUCGAAAAA